GGUUAGUUGGCCGAGUGGUCUAAGGCGCCAGACUGGGGUGCUCUAUUAUUUGGCCUCUCCAGGGGCGGGAGUUCGAAUCUCCCUCUCAUUAUCCC